GGGAGGCCUGCAGAGAAGCCUAUGGCACAUUCUGUUGACCCAUUUACUUUCAGGUAGGUGAUUCCUUCUUUUUGUGCCAACUACCAUAAAGCAGCUCCAGAGGCUCCGAGUUAGAAUCCAUGCAUUGGCCGGGAAUCGAACCCGGGUCAACUGCUUGGAAGGCAGCUAUGCUCACCUCUAUACCACCAAUGCCACACUAGGCAGUUCAACCCUGCUGAACAAAAGUUUAAGUAUGUGCUCUUCUCAUCAGCAGACUGUAGGGAAGCGCCGACUCACACCUUUGUCAUGGUUUCUGUAGUGUAGUGGUUAUCACGUUUGCCUAACACGCAAAAGGUCCCUGGUUCGAGACCGGGCAGAAACAAGCUAGCAAUUUUGAACUUUGCUUUAAUAACUGACCGGUUGUCA
ensembl:lncRNA